UGCCAGACUCCUACGGGAGGCAGCAGUGGGGGAUAUUGCACAAUGGGGGAAACCCUGAUGCAGCGACGCCGCGUGUAGGAAGACGGUCCUCUGGAUUGUAAACUACUGUCCCCAGGGACGAAGAUGACGGUACCUGGGGAGGAAGCUCCGGCUAACUACGUGCCAGCAGCCGCGGUAAUACGUAGGGAGCGAGCGUUGUCCGGAAUUACUGGGUGUAAAGGGAGCGUAGGCGGGGAUGCAAGUUGGGUGUUAAAUCUACCGGCUCAACUGGUAGUCGCACUCAAAACUGCAGCUCUUGAGUGAAGUAGAGGCAGGCGGAAUUCCUAGUGUAGCGGUGAAAUGCGUAGAUAUACGGAGGAACACCAGUGGCGAAGGCGGAUUGCUGGACAGUAACUGACGCUGAGGCGCGAAAGCGUGGGGAGCAAACAGGAUUAGAUACCCUGGUA
rnacentral:rRNA from 1 species